rnacentral:RNase_P_RNA from 1 species
GAGUCGGACGGGCUGUCGCUGCGGGCCGCAAGGCCCGGGGAGGAAAGUCCGGGCUUCACAGGGCAGGAUGCUGGCUAACGGCCAGGGCGGGCGACCGCCGGCAAGCGCAACAGAAAGCAGACCGCCGUCCUCCGGGGCGGUAAGGGUGAAACGGUGAGGUAAGAGCUCACCGGCUGACGUGGCGACACGUCAGGCCAGGCAAGCCCCAUCCGAAGCAAGACCAAAUAGGGAAACCGGCCGGCCCGGCCCAUGGUUUCCGGGUAGGUUGCUUGAAGGCGCGGGCAACCGCGUCUCUAGAGGAAUGACAGCCGCCGCCCUCCCGGGCGGUACAAAACCCGGCUUACAGUCCGGCUCCU